GUCCAGGGAUGGGAAUUGAACCCACAGUUAUUCCGCUCACCAGGCAGAUGCCAUGUCCACUAGGCUACCCUGGA
rnacentral:tRNA from 1 species